AAGAAAAUUCUAUCUUCUCUAUACAGUGUUAUCCAGAAAAAAAAAAAAGUAAAGAAAACGAAAACAGUUGAGGUUUUUUGGUUUCUAGAUCUGGUUUGUCCUCAUGGAUCGAAUGCCUUCAAGUUCGUUUCAGAUUGAAUUUUCCUUGGUCCUUACCGCUACAAGACACUGAUUUGGAGCGACGAAGUUGCAUGCAAUCUCAGCUCUCUCUCAAUCCUUCUUCCUCACACCAGUUUAAGCCUGUCCUUACUGGAAGUCCCAUGGGGUUUGGAAGGUUUACUAAUCCAAUUAAUGCAAUGAAUGCCCCUGGUGUAGUUGGAGUUGCCAUUGAGCUAGUUUUAAACUAGAAAUCAAAUGCAGAAUCACUAGGUCUAAGGCAAUUUCUUGAUUGUGAUGAACAUGAAAUUUGAUGGAGAGCUUAUAUAUUUGACAACCCAUCGGCGUACUUGGGCUCAUGGAAUUUUUUGGUUAUGUGAACAUAAUUAAAUUUCACCUCAUGGAGUGAAGGGUGGAGGUUAGAGAAGUACAAAAUUAGAAAGCCAGCAUUGUUUGUUCUUUAGGUUUCUCAUAAAUGGGUGAUGAGGUGGAUAUAAUUGUCAAAGUCAAAGGCUAAACGGCUCCAUGGAAAGCUCUCAGAAGGGAAAUACAAUCACAAGGAUAUUAUCUUGUCCUUGAUUCGUCAUCACUCUAUUUGAACUUUUUAAGGGGUUAUAAUCUGAAACAGAAAGCUGCAAGAGCUUACGAACGAGGAGACAAAAAAAUGUUGUUCACUCAAUAAGGAGAAAGCUAUGGACUUUGUAAACUGGACUUGCAGUUCAAUGACGGAAGGAGAGAGAUGAGAAGCAAUUUCUGGUUUCAUAUGAAAGAAGACAGUAGUCAACUUUGGAGUCUUCUAGUCUAGGAGCAUUUGUAUUUAUAUAAUAUCCAAAAUAAUUAAGUUUUCCAUGAUAAUUUUUUUUUUUUAAAUGAAAUAUAUUGAGUCACCAAUAGAAUUGGUGUGGUGCUAAUUAUAGUAAUGUAUUCAACCA